UUUUAAACCUGAUUGACGCGAAAAUCCUUUUUUGUCACCCUGUCCAAAGGACUCCUACGGAGAGCGGAGUCGAAGGGCAAAAAAGAUUGUAGCAGAAAGCAGGGCUAACU
rnacentral:sRNA from 1 species